UUGCGGGAGGAGCAGGGCCCAAUGAAAUCGGCAUUUGGAUCGCCCAUUGAGGUCCUCGGAUCCAUUUCCCGGGCCACACCUAGGGGGGGGGUCG
rnacentral:rRNA from 1 species